CGAGCAGCUGUGCAAGUGGUACAGCAAUGCGGGCCCAGUUUGCCAGCGGAAAAUUAACAGCGCUGCAGCGCGUGAAGCUGCUGCAGGAGCUGAUGCAGGCUCAUGAGCGGGUCGUGGAGAACCACAGAGCCACGGCCAAGGAAUCGCUGAUGAAGGAAUCCCAGCAAACACGGGGUGAAAGAAUUGCAGCCAGGAAAGAGGAGCUGGAGCAGGUAGGGUGGAGUGGGGGCUCGUCCUUAG